rnacentral:rRNA from 1 species
UACGUAGGGGGCAAGCGUUGUCCGGAAUCAUUGGGCGUAAAGCGCGUGUAGGCGGCCCGGUAAGUCCGCUGUGAAAGUCGGGGGCUCAACCCUCGAAUGCCGGUGGAUACUGUCGGGCUAGAGUGCGGGAGAGGCGAGUGGAAUUCCUGGUGUAGCGGUGAAAUGCGCAGAUAUCAGGAGGAACACCAAUUGCGAAGGCAGCUCGCUGGAACGUAACUGACGCUGAGAUGCGAAAGCGUGGGGAGCAAACAGG